rnacentral:rRNA from 1 species
UACGAAGGGGGCUAGCGUUGUUCGGAAUUACUGGGCGUAAAGCGCGCGCAGGCGGCUAUCCAAGUCAGUGGUGAAAGCCCGGAGCUCAACUCCGGAACUGCCAUUGAAACUGUUUAGCUGGAGUAUGAGAGAGGUGAGUGGAAUUCCCAGUGUAGAGGUGAAAUUCGUAGAUAUUGGGAAGAACACCGGUGGCGAAGGCGGCUCACGUGGCUCGAUUACUGACGCUCAUGCGCGACAGCGUGGGGAUCAAACAGG